UACGUAGGGGGCAAGCGUUGUCCGGAUUUAUUGGGCGUAAAGAGCGUGUAGGCGGCCAAGCAGGUCCGCUGUGAAAACUCGAGGCUCAACCUCGAGACGUCGGUGGAAACCGUUUGGCUAGAGUCCGGAAGAGGAGAGUGGAAUUCCCGGUGUAGCGGUGAAAUGCGCAGAUAUCAGGAGGAACACCGAUGGCGAAGGCAGGUCUCUGGGCCGAUACUGACGCUGAGGAGCGAAAGCGUGGGGAGCGAACAGG
rnacentral:rRNA from 1 species